rnacentral:rRNA from 1 species
ACACGCAUGACACACUGCAUAUCAAUAAGCGGAGGAAAAGAAACUAACAAGGAUUCCCUAGUAACGGCGAGUGAAGCGGGAAGAGCUCAAAUUUGAAAUCUUCAAGGUUUUCCCUUGACGAAUUGUAGUUUAAAGAAGUGUUUUCUGUUAGAGAGUUGGUAAAAGUUCUUUGGAAUAGGACAUCAUAGAGGGUGAGAAUCCCGUAUUUGAUCACUUUCUACUAACUUUGUGAUACACUUUCAAAGAGUCGGAUUGUUUGGGAAUGCAGUCCAAAAUGGGUGGUAAAUUUCAUCUAAAGCUAAAUAUUGGCGAGAGACCGAUAGCGAACAAGUACCGUGAGGGAAAGAUGAAAAGAACUUUGAAAAGAGAGUUAAACAGUACGUGAAAUUGUCAAAAGGGAAGCGUUUGACACCAGUGUUGUUUUCUCGAAAAUCAAUUAAAAAUGCCCUGGAUUUUGUGUUGUAUUGACUUUAUCAGCUUUCUGCACUUUUUCUUGUCUUUUUUAAUGCACUUUUCGUUUAACAAGUCAACAUCAAUUUCUUUUGUUGUAAAAGAGUCAUCGGAAGGUGGCUUUCAUUUCGGUGAAAGUGUUUAUAGCCUUUGACUUCUGCAAUCGGAGAGAUUGAGGUCUGCAGCGUAGAUCCUUCGGGGUUAGAUACAUUUGUGCUAAGUUAUAGUUUUUCAUAGACAACAUGUUGACUAUGAUUAAUCAUGUAGCUUACUCGCUUAUGCUAUUUUACCUACGCUUAGGAUGUUGAUCUGUAGUGCGUGCGC